rnacentral:rRNA from 1 species
UUGCCAGACUCCUACGGGAGGCAGCAGUGGGGAAUAUUGCACAAUGGGGGAAACCCUGAUGCAGCGACGCCGCGUGAGUGAGGAAGUAUUUCGGUAUGUAAAGCUCUAUCAGCAGGGAAGAAAAUGACGGUACCUGACUAAGAAGCCCCGGCUAACUACGUGCCAGCAGCCGCGGUAAUACGUAGGGGGCAAGCGUUAUCCGGAUUUACUGGGUGUAAAGGGAGCGUAGACGGCUAGUCAAGUCAGAAGUGAAAGCCCAGGGCUCAACCUUGGGACUGCUUUUGAAACUGAGUAGCUAGAGUGCAGGAGAGGUAAGCGGAAUUCCUAGUGUAGCGGUGAAAUGCGUAGAUAUUAGGAGGAACACCAGUGGCGAAGGCGGCUUACUGGACUGUAACUGACGUUGAGGCUCGAAAGCGUGGGGAGCAAACAGGAUUAGAUACCCCCGUAGU